rnacentral:rRNA from 1 species
AAUAAUGCACACAGGUGGUGCAUGGUUGUCGUCAGCUCGUGUCGUGAGAUGUUGGGUUAAGUCCCGCAACGAGCGCAACCCUUGUCGCAUGUUACCAGCAGUAAGAUGGGGAGUGAUGCGAGACUGCCGGUGAUAAACCGGAGGAAGGCGGGGAUGACGUCAAAUCAUCAUGCCCCUUAUGGCCUGGGCGACACACGUACUACAAUGGCGACUACAGAGGGAAGCGAGACAGUGAUGUUAAGCGGACCCCAAAAAGGUCGUCCCAGUUCGGAUUGAAGUCUGCAACUCGACUUCAUGAAGCCGGAAUCGCUAGUAAUCGCAGAUCAGCAUGCUGCGGUGAAUACGUUCUCGGGCCUUGUACACACCGCCCGUCAAACCAUGGGAGUCGGUAAUGCCCGAAGCCGGUGGCAUAACCUAGAAAUAGGAGUGAGCCGUCGAAGGCAGGACUGAUGACUGGGGUUAAGUCGUAACAAGGUAACCGU